rnacentral:rRNA from 1 species
GAUGAACGCUGGCGGCGUGCCUAAUACAUGCAAGUCGAGCGAACAGACGAGGAGCUUGCUCCUCUGACGUUAGCGGCGGACGGGUGAGUAACACGUGGAUAACCUACCUAUAAGACUGGGAUAACUUCGGGAAACCGGAGCUAAUACCGGAUAAUAUAUUCAACCGCAUGGUUCAAUAGUGAAAGACGGUUUUGCUGUCUCUUAUAGAUGGAUCCGCGCCGCAUUAGCUAGUUGGUAAGGUAACGGCUUACCAAGGCAACGAUGCGUAGCCGACCUGAGAGGGUGAUCGGCCACACUGGAACUGAGACACGGUCCAGACUCCUACGGGAGGCAGCAGUAGGGAAUCUUCCGCAAUGGGCGCAAGCCUGACGGAGCAACGCCGCGUGAGUGAUGAAGGUCUUCGGAUCGUAAAACUCUGUUAUUAGGGAAGAACAAAUGUGUAAGUAACUAUGCACGUCUUGACGGUACCUAAUCAGAAAGCCACGGCUAACUACGUG